rnacentral:lncRNA from 1 species
CCUACCGAACUUCUUUCAUUCACCAUUGUUAUUGUUGCAUUCCCCUCCCCUUUCCUCUUUUUUUUUUUUGACGUCGUCUGGAGGUUACUGGUCGUUGCCGCGUCGGCUCGCUCUUCCAGUCAUCCUUCUUCUUCAGCCCUAAGGGCUCGGUAAUGCAUAUUAAAUAAAUAACAUGAGAAGGAAAUUUUUCGCUACCUCUUUUACUCAUGU